rnacentral:rRNA from 1 species
CGUAGGGUGCGAGCGUUAAUCGGAAUUACUGGGCGUAAAGUGUGCGCAGGUGGCCGCGCAAGUCGAGUGUGAAAUCCCCGAGCUUAACUUGGGAAUUGCGCUCGAAGCUACGUGGCUCGAGUGUGGCAGAGGAAGGUGGAAUUCCACGUGUAGCGGUGAAAUGCGUAGAGAUGUGGAGGAACACCGAUGGCGAAGGCAGCCUUCUGGGCCAACACUGACGCUCAUGCACGAAAGUGUGGGGAGCAAACAGGAUUAGAUACCCUGGUAGUCCACGCCCUAAACGAUGAUGACUAGUUGUUGGGGGAGUUAAAUCCCUUAGUAACGCAGCUAACGCGUGAAGUCAUCCGCCUGGGGAGUACGGUCGCAAGAUUAA